CAACAAUGUGGAUAGACUUUAUGUUUACUUUUAUAUGUAUAAUGAUACUGUUUGAUCCUUGAAUUAAAGUUAAGAUUAACGUUGCGAUUAUGAUUAUCCUUUGUCUGACUAAAUAUAUUUGAAGUAUCAAUUACAGUAGAAUUUUUGAAAGAUUCUUGGCUGUUAAACAAAAAACUGGUUCCUUUAUAUUUCGCUCAAUUAUCAUAGAAUCGUGAAACUGACUUUCACUUCAAAUUUUGUCUGUUUCAGGAGUAACAAGUACCUGCAAAAAUCAUCCAUCAGCCGGAUAUGUGCUGUCGGAGGGUUUUUCAUUAGCAUUCCCGUCUUUCUAACUGGUAUGAUAUUGUAUACAUUCAUCCAGUUUCAUUCGACGCCGGCAAUCGUUACGUCGGUUUUCAUAGGCCUUGGCAUCGUGUUUUGUGGAUGCGCAAUGGUCCAUAACGUCUUCGUGUGGCAGAGGGAGAAGACGAAUGCCGUGAAGGCGUUAGCGCGCGAACAGUGCGAAGCGGCGGUACAGCUGCAGCGUCAGCAGCAGCUGCAACAGCACCAGAACCAGCCACAGCUACAACAGCAACAACAACUACGUGGCCCGUUAACCAUCCACCAUGCUGGCUGCCCAAC